GAUGAACGCUGGCGGCGUGCCUAAUACAUGCAAGUCGAGCGAACAGACGAGGAGCUCGCUCCUUUGACGUUAGCGGCGGACGGGUGAGUAACACGUGGGUAACCUACCUAUAAGACUGGGAUAACUUCGGGAAACCGGAGCUAAUACCGGAUAAUAUUUCGAACCGCAUGGUUCGAUAGUGAAAGAUGGCUUUGCUAUCACUUAUAGAUGGACCUGCGCCGUAUUAGCUAGUUGGUAAGGUAACGGCUUACCAAGGCAACGAUACGUAGCCGACCUGAGAGGGUGAUCGGCCACACUGGAACUGAGACACGGUCCAGACUCCUACGGGAGGCAGCAGUAGGGAAUCUUCCGCAAUGGGCGAAAGCCUGACGGAGCAACGCCGCGUGAGUGAUGAAGGUCUUCGGAUCGUAAAACUCUGUUAAUAGGGAAGAACAAACGUGUAAGUAACUGUGCACGUCUUGACGGUACCUAAUCAGAAAGCCACGGCUAACUACGUG
rnacentral:rRNA from 1 species